rnacentral:sRNA from 1 species
GCUGGGCACAGUGGUGCAUGCCUAUAAUCCCAGUGGCUCAGGAGGCUGAGGCAGGAGGAUUGUAGAUUUCAAAGCCAGCCUCAGCAAAAAUGAGGCACUUAGCAACUCAGUGAUACCCUGUCUCUG